CGGACGGGUGAGUAAUGCCUAGGAAUCUGCCUGGUAGUGGGGGACAACGUUUCGAAAGGAACGCUAAUACCGCAUACGUCCUACGGGAGAAAGCAGGGGACCUUCGGGCCUUGCGCUAUCAGAUGAGCCUAGGUCGGAUUAGCUAGUUGGUGAGGUAAUGGCUCACCAAGGCGACGAUCCGUAGCUGGUCUGAGAGGAUGAUCAGCCACACUGGAACUGAGACACGGUCCAGACUCCUACGGGAGGCAGCAGAG
rnacentral:rRNA from 1 species